rnacentral:rRNA from 1 species
UACGAAGGGGGCUAGCGUUGCUCGGAAUGACUGGGCGUAAAGGGCGCGUAGGCGGUUCAUACAGUCAGAUGUGAAAUUCCCGGGCUUAACCUGGGGGCUGCAUUUGAUACGUGUGGGCUUGAGUGAGGAGAGGGUUGUGGAAUUCCCAGUGUAGAGGUGAAAUUCGUAGAUAUUGGGAAGAACACCGGUGGCGAAGGCGGCAACCUGGUCCUUUACUGAGCUGAGGCGCGAAAGCGUGGGGAGCAAACAGG